rnacentral:rRNA from 1 species
UACGAACCGUCCAAACGUUAUUCGGAUUUACUGGGUGUAAAGGGAGCGUAGGCGGUUUUACAAGUCUGAUGUGAAAGCCCGGGGCUCAACCCCGGUAUUGCAUUGGAAACUGUAGAACUAGAGUGUCGGAGGGGUAAGUGGAAUUCCUAGUGUAGCGGUGAAAUGCGUAGAUAUUAGGGGGAACACCAGUGGCGAAGGCGGCUUACUGGACGAUUACUGACGCUGAGGCUCGAAAGCGUGGGGAGCAAAC